rnacentral:misc_RNA from 1 species
UCCGCCAUGUCUGCCGCUAUGCUCUCCUUGGGUGAGCGGAUUGGUAAAGAACUUUUAGGCGGUACAACCGAUCGCAUCUAUGUUGAGGGCGACGAAGGCUUUACAAUUUUGACCAGUUGUGGCGACGAGGCGGUGUUUCUUGUCCUCGCGAGCAAGGAAGCCAAGCAGGGUAUUUUGAUGUUAGAAAUUAAACGCACUGUUUCUGAUCUCAGACCCGCUUUGAUGUAGUUAGCAUCUUUUGAUUCUCUGCCUAAUUGGUGAAGUACUUUUUCCGCUCAAUGCUCCUUUAUUAGCAGUGGCUGUAAACCAAGUACCAGAAAUGUCUAGGAGUCUAGGUAUUCCAACUCCAAUAAAAGAUUAGAAGUGGCUCAGCCUUUAAAUUGUAGGAUUGCUCUAAGCCAGUAUUAAGGUUUAGCUUCUAGAGUAUGCAAUUUAAAAAGCCAAAAAAUCCUGUAGGAUAUGUUGGCACUUUGUGCAUCACUAAGUAGGUAA